UGAACAAAGCAAGGUGGGACUUGCCGUUCAUGCUGUUAAUGUAACCCACAGUGAGAUACAAAACCUGACACUUCCCCUGCCUUCCAGACAGACUCAUCGCCACGGUUACCAGACCACUCAGUAGACCUCCGACCCGUCUCCGUAGUUUAGUGCCUAGCAGAGUAGCUAUCUGUCUCUGUUGGUCUGUCGAACAGUCGGUACAUCAAUCUGUCCAUCCGUCCAGCCAGUUAGUAAGCCAGUCAAUUAGUCAGCCAGCCAGUCAGCCAGUCAGCCAGCCAGCCAGCCAGUCAGUCAGCCAGUCAGCCAGCAUGUCCGUGUUCCAAUCCAGGACCCUCUCUCUGGCCCUCCUGAUCACCAUCUGUGUGUACCUCACCUCUGUGUCUGCUAACUAUCGUCGGCCAACUAAGGUAACCACAAGUUGCUGCACAAGAGUUUCUGACUCUCACAUCAAAUUUAGACUGCAAGCAUACCACAUCCAAAACGCCAUGCCACCCUGUGUUGAUGCCAUCGUCUUCCACACAGUGAAAGGAGGGAAGAUCUGCUCUGAUCCCAAAGCAUCCUGGGUCAACAAAAGAAAGCAAUAUUUGAAUGUGAUGAAAAAGCAAAGAAGACAUGUUUGACCAUGACUGGAACCCUCUCCACUGUAAACACGCCUCCUCACCAUCUCCUGCAUCCUCCUCCCCUCCUCACCAUCUCCUGCAUCCUCCUCCCAAGAUCCUCUAUCAGCAUACUUCACUUUUCUGCUUAUUUUUUGUCCGUCUGGCCCUUAAGAUUAUUUUGUUGUGUUUUAAAUUGAUAGAAUUUCAUUAAAAUACAGUAUGUUACAGUC